rnacentral:rRNA from 1 species
GAUGAACGCUGGCGGCGUGCUUAACACAUGCAAGUCGAACGGUGAAGGCGGAGCUUGCUCUGCUGGAUCAGUGGCGAACGGGUGAGUAACACGUGAGCAAUCUGCCCCUGACUCUGGGAUAAGCGCUGGAAACGGCGUCUAAUACUGGAUACGAGCUGCGAAGGCAUCUUCAGCAGCUGGAAAGAAUUUCGGUCAGGGAUGAGCUCGCGGCCUAUCAGCUUGUUGGUGAGGUAAUGGCUCACCAAGGCGUCGACGGGUAGCCGGCCUGAGAGGGUGACCGGCCACACGGGAACUGAGACACGGCCAAGACUCCUACGGGAGGCAGCAGUGGGAAUAUUGCACAAUGGGCGAAAGCCUGAUGCAGCAACGCCGCGUGAGGGACGACGGCCUUCGGGUUGUAAACCUCUUUUAGCAGGGAAGAAGCGAAAGUGACGGUACCUGCAGAAAAAGCGCCGGCUAACUACGUG